ACAACCCGGCUUAUAAACACUCAGUUCCUGCUGAGCUGCACUUUCACUUUCACUUAUAGACAAGAUUCAGAGUCUUAAUACGGCACAAAUGCAGUACCCUUGUGGAGAAACCAAAAAUCAAUAAAGGGUUGGAGUCACAGAUGACAGGAGCAGACAACGCUUUAAAAGAUGGGUAAUUCCUAUUCCGCUGCAGAAGAACUUAGAGAGGUGCCAUAUGAUGCCAUAAGUCAGGCAGAGACUGAAAUGAGCAAAUGCCCUAGAUGUCCUGGCAUCCUGAGGCCAUCUCUGGACACCACUGGAUAUACUGAGUGCUCCCGGAGCCCUGAGUCCCAUCUAUUCUGUAGGUUUUGCCUAGCCCCCUGGAAGCCCACUCAUAAAGAUGGCAUGGAGCACUGCAGCAACCAGUCCUGUGAAGUGGUGUACACACUUCUCACCUGUAACACGAUCACCAACCCCAGGAGCUGCAUUUAUGGCUGCCCCAUCUUCCGUGCCUGUCCUAAAUGCCACUGUGUGUUGAUGCACAUUGAUGGAUGCAAUAAUGUCACAUGCCCAAGCUGCACACAUGAAUUCUGCUUCAUUUGUCUGCAGAGCAGUGACAAUUACUCACUGUCCUGCAGGAAACCCUUGGCAGACAGGCAGAGAUUUGUUACUCGGGAAAAAUAAAUUUUGUGCAGUGAUGAUGUAAAAAGGAUGUAGAAAGUUAUGUGGCCUCCUCUUGUAUGUUAAGUAUUUCUGCAUCACAUGUAGCACGCAUCACUUCUCCAAUCUACACUUAACACUCUGGAUUGAUGGCAGGUGAUGCACUGUGUAGAAGAGCACAUCUAUACACACACACUGUCUGAAAUUGCUUAUCCCGAAUGGGAUCAUGGCAAACCGGAGGCUAA